rnacentral:rRNA from 2 species
ACCGUGCAAAGGUAGCAUAAUCAUUAGUUUUUUAAUUGAAAGCUGGAAUGAAUGGUUGGACGAGAAAAUAACUGUCUCAAUUUAAUUUAAAUUAGAAUUUUAUUUUUAAGUUAAAAAGCUUAAAUGUAUUUAAAAGACGAGAAGACCCUAUAGAGUUUUAUAUUUUUUAGUAUAUUUAUAAUUUAGUAAGUUUAAGUAUUUAUAUUAGAAAGUAUUUUGUUGGGGUGACAGAAAAAUUUAUUAAACUUUUUUUUUAUGUUAACAUUUAUUUAUGAGUGUUUGAUCCGUUUAUUACGAUUAAAAGAUUAAAUUACCUUAGGGAUAACAGCGUAAUUUUUUUUGAGAGUUCUAAUCGAAAAAAGAGUUU